UGUGGGAGCGGGCUUGCUCGCGAAUGCGGUGUGUCAGUGAAUACAUCUUUGACUGAACCACUGCAUUCGCGAGCAAGCCCGCUCCCACA
rnacentral:misc_RNA from 1 species